UGGUUUAGACCUGCUGUAAAUGCCUAAGUCCUGUUGGCCAGAUUUGGACCCGUUACACUAGGAAUGGUACCUGCAGGUCUGACCCCUGCCUCCUUUCUGCUUUGAUCUGUGGCAACUGAAAAGAUUGUAUGGGAGGAAAAACACAGAUCCUGUCUCUGGUUCCUGAGUUAUUGCUGUAACAUUUCCAUCUGGAACACAGCUUGAGCACGAGAAACAUUGCUCUGAGGCAGCAGCCAGGUGUAUCACUAUAAAGGUAGUGACAUCUCAGGUGUGAUGGUUCACAGCGAACAGUUUGGACAGCUGUAUGGACCACUCCUCCACCAACCCUGUGAUGCUCUUCUGUGAAACUGUGCCACCUCUUACACACUGGUCAGUCCCUCUCUUCUGACCCAUCUUGAUGUC